rnacentral:lncRNA from 1 species
GAACAGUGUGAAUAAGAAGAGGCGAGAACCACCCCCGGACCGACCAAAGCCCGCGCGCCACUGCAUCCCGUGCCCAGUGCCUACGUCCAGCCGCUGUCGCCGCCACCAUGCCCAGGAGAAAGGCUGAAGGACAUAAAGUCAAGGUGAAGGAUGAACCACAGAGAAGAUCCGCGAGGUUGUCUACUAAACCUGCUCCUCCAAAGCCAGAGCCUGAGCCUAAAAAGGCCCCUGCAAAGAAGACAGAGAAGGUACCCAAAGGGAAAAAAAGAAAAGCUGAUGCAGGCAAGGAGGGGAAUAAGCCUGCAGAAAAGAGAGAUGCCAAAACAGACCAGGCACAGAAAGCUGAAGGUGCUGGAGAUGCCAAGUGGAGUGUGUGCCUUUUUGACUGAGUGUGUACUUCUGG